rnacentral:rRNA from 1 species
AACGAACGCUGGCGGCAUGCUUAACACAUGCAAGUCGAACGAGAAAGUCCCUUCGGGGGCGAGUACAGUGGCGCACGGGUGAGUAACACGUAGGUGACCUACCGAUUGGGCGGGGGAUAACUCGGAGAAAUCCGGGCUAAUACCGCGUAAGUAAGCUGAACUUGAAAGUAAGCUUAGAAAGGAUGCCUCUCCUUGGAAGCAUUCGCCGAUUGAUGGGCCUGCGGGGCAUUAGCUUGUUGGUGGGGUAAUGGCCUACCAAGGCAACGAUGUCUAGCGGAUCUGAGAGGAUGAUCCGCCACACUGGAACUGAGACACGGUCCAG